rnacentral:rRNA from 1 species
UCCGUAGGUGGAUCAAUCAGUCAGAGGUGAAAUCCUGCAGCUUAACUGUAGAACUGCCUUUGAUACUGUUGAUCUUGAGUCAUUAUGAAGUGGUUAGAAUGUGUAGUGUAGCGGUGAAAUGCAUAGAUAUUACACAGAAUACCGAUUGCGAAGGCAGAUCACUAAUAAUGUACUGACACUGAGGGACGGAAGCGUGGGGAGCGAACAGGAUUAGAUACCCUGGUAGUCC